CCAGGGUGCAGUAAUGAGAAAUCAGAACACUGAAAAGCCUGUGAAGAAUGCCUAUGAUAUUUAUGUAAUGUUUAUUGUAACUCUUUAUCUCUUCCUUCUUGUUUUUCAAAGACAUAAUUGCUGAAGAGGAGUCUCCUGGAAGAGGUUGUCCCCCUGGCACUUUCUACCAAUAACUAGACAUCCCUUCUUACUAGAGAAGACAUCCCUUCUUAAUUAUUAAUUAAAUUAGUCCGGAUGUUUUCAGCAACUUUUCUGUGGUUCUGAAUGAAAAGAUGAAAAGAGUUCAUUGAGGUUAUUAUUUCUUAAGGUUUAACACAAGAUCUCUGUCCUCUUGUGAACUGGAAGCCAGCAUCCAAAGGCGUUCAAAUCUGGGGCUUGUCCAUGGGCCCCAGGCAGACUGAGGGCAGCAAGAUGUGGAGGGAGACACAGGCCUGCUCAACAGUAGCUUUGCUCUUGGAACAUUUCAAAGAAAUCAAAUUCAGGAAAGGAGACAAAGGUAUAUAUAACCAGGAGAAGCAGACCACACAAAUAUAAAACAAAACUGUUUCCCAUCAUUUUGCUGAUACUCUGUCCAAUGACUUUCAGAACUGAAACUGAGAAGAAAGAGGUGAUUAUGGAAAUUUUCCUUUUUCCUUUGAGAAAAUAAGAAUCCUACAGAAUAAGUUUUAAAAGGAUGGUGCAUAGAUUAAUUGGGUGAUAUGUUGGCUGUAUUUCCACCUUUACUGUUAAUGGUCUCAGAGGUGCCUGUUGUGCUGCCUUUGACUACACAGGGGAAAUCUCUGUUGGCUGUGUUUUGCUGUAUUGUAUUUGUAUAAAUUAAUAUAAGGAUCUGAUGACGGCACCCAUCUGAUGAUUAUGACUCAAACCUUGUAUUUCCUCUGCCCUCAUGCAGAGGAAAUACAUACAUGGCACAGACAAAAUGGGUCAGCGCAUGUUUUCUGUGUGUAACAUAGAUCCAAAAUUGUACUUCAGGCAACUUUGGAUGAAACAGGGAAAAUAGAGCUUUUAGAACACAGUCCUACUCCUUUCACCUGACAACUGGCUGUCAAAGGCUGCCAAAUGUGAAUGAAGACCGCAAUCUGUGCAGAAAGGAAACCUGUGCUGGUUAUUCAUAAACCCCUACACCUUCAGCCCUGUGUAAGCACUGCUUUCUUGUGCACAUUUGGCUUGUUAAAUGUGGGAAGGUGUACCAUGCAGCAAGGCAAGUAGGAGUACACUGAUAUCAGUGGUAUGAGGAGCCAUAAAUAUUUUAGUUUUCAUUUUCCCUACUGCCAGAAAAGUAAUUACUUAGAGAUGAAACAACGAGUUUAUAUCUCAGAGAAUUUUUUUUAUUUCAGAUGACUUUUACUAUUUGCAUUAAAGUGACUGCUUUGAGUCCCCAAAAAUUACAGAAACUGAUUCAUAUUCUUGCUUUGGAUACUCCUCAGUGAAACUGAGUGAUGAUACCAGCACAUUAAUAAUGCAAGUUAAGAAACAAUGAACAAGGAAGCCAUGGUCUCAGUAUGAAUAUAAAUAUAUUCCAGCUUUGUAAGACCUUACUUAUGUGAGUUAGGCCCAUUGAUUUCAAUAAAACUAUUCAGAUGUACAACUACUCACAUUUUGAACAUUAAUAUGACAACAGACUACAUUCAUGCUACAUUCACAGUGUGGUAAAAGAAUGAAGGGCUAAAAUUCAUCUUGUCUAUGUAUCUUUAAUGAAGUCCCUUAGCAUGGAAGAUACUCUUCAUUAACAAACCAGUAUUCUUCCUUAUCCUAUGGACCAUAGAAACAUUCACAGCAUAUGAUGAACAGACAAGGAUAACACUAAUGCAUGAAUAACAUUAAAUCUGGCAUCAAGAACUUGUCUUUGCAUAUGAAAUAGGACUCGUUUAAAUGCAAUUUUUUUAAUUAAUGCUAAUAAAAUUUUAGCACACGUGACAAAAUGAAUUUUAGUUUGUAUGUGAACUUGAGCUUAUAUAGUGAAAUACAUCCUCAUCUUAAGAAGAGAAUAUAUCUGGCAAAUGGAUGCUAUUGAAAAAUGAGUUACUUUAAGGCAUACAUAGCCUGGCUUACAUCCACCAGAUUCAUGCCAUCUUUGUGAGCCUCCUAGUCUCUUGAUGUUACAGAAAAAUGUGAACAGAGAGAGAGCAGAUUAAAUGAGUUUCACUUUUAUGUUAGGCAUGCAAAGAUGCUUGGUGACCUCUCAUUCUUUCAAAACCACCUCAUUAUAAAAUCCACUGUGAAGUUUGGGGGAAAAAAAAAAAUUGACAGCUCAGCUCCAGCCUGGGAGCAGUGCAGGAUGGGGAUAGCAGGCACCCUGCUGCUCUGGGCUGCGUGGCCCUGGCAGUGUGGUGUGGGAAGCCAGGCACGGCCCUUGCCCACACAAUGUGAUACCUGGCUCCUUUUCAGUCCACACUGUUCAUCUCUCACUUUCAUGAAUGCUGUAAUUAUACUGGUUGCCACUUAAAAGUCAGUGUUUGCCAAGACCUGUCACUGAACAGCUUCUGAAACACCAGAGCUUUGCAGGAAACAUCUAUGUGGUAUCUGUUGACAAAUGCUGGCUUUUAAAUGGCACCCACUGUAAAGGAUGCCCUCUAAACCUUCUCUUACUACACCAGUGAGAAGUAAAUUAUUUGUUUUUCAUUUACCUUUCUCUACGGCCUUCCCCUUGUGUGUGAAAUGUCUGUAACUUGAGAAAAGUUCAGGAUCUUCUUGGGAAGUUCAGCUUCUGAAAGGUCCCUUUUGCUGAAUAAAAACCAUUAUUAUUUAGGGGAUAUUCCUUAUUUCUUCUCUGCUAACUCAUUCCUGUAUAUUUUAAAUCAAUCUUUUUUUUUUUUUUUUAAUAUUCACUUCUAUUCAAAGAAAAUGACAGGAAGAAGACACAGAUUUA